AAGCUCGUAGUUGAAUUUCGGGAUUAGUACGUCGGUCGUGCCACCGGUACGUACUGGUCUCACUGAUUCCUCCUUCCUGAUGAGCUGUAAUGCCAUUAAUUUGGUGUUGCAGGGAAUCUGGACUGUUACUUUGAAAAAAUUAGAGUGUUUAAAGCAGGCUAACGCUUGAAUACAUUAGCAUGGAAUAAUGAAAUAGGACGUUCGAUCCUAUUUUGUUGGUUUCUAGGAUUGACGUAAUGAUUAUAGGGAUAGUUGGG
rnacentral:rRNA from 1 species